AACGAACGCUGGCGGCAGGCUUAACACAUGCAAGUCGAACGCCCCGCAAGGGGAGUGGCAGACGGGUGAGUAACGCGUGGGAAUCUACCGUACCCUACGGAAUAACGCAUGGAAACGUGUGCUAAUACCGUAUACGCCCUACGGGGGAAAGAUUUAUCGGGGUAUGAUGAGCCCGCGUUGGAUUAGCUAGUUGGUGGGGUAAAGGCCUACCAAGGCGACGAUCCAUAGCUGGUCUGAGAGGAUGAUCAGCCACAUUGGGACUGAGACACGGCCCAAACUCCUACGGGAGGCAGCAGUGGGGAAUAUUGGACAAUGGGCGCAAGCCUGAUCCAGCCAUGCCGCGUGAGUGAUGAAGGCCCUAGGGUUGUAAAGCUCUUUCACCGAUGAAGAUAAUGACGGUAGUCGGAGAAGAAGCCCCGGCUAACUUCGUG
rnacentral:rRNA from 1 species